AAUCUGAUGACAUCACAGGAGGGUGGAAUUACUUGAACGCUUCUCCACCUAUAUGGCUUAUCAGAUAGACUUGAAACUUUGUACAAUGCUUCAUUGUCAUUUGCAGAUGUGAAUAUUGUUGGGACGGGAGGAUCCAAUUGUUUUCGUAAGAGUUAUAGUGGAUCUAAGAGGGGUGGAAGAUGUAAAAUAGCUUAUGAACUCUUCUCCUCCCAUAUGACUUAUUGGAUAGACUUGAAACUUUGUACAAUGCUUAAUUGUCAUUUGUAGAUGUGCAUAUUGUCGGAAUGUGAGGAUCCAAAGUUUUUCCUAAAAGAUAUAGUGGAUCGAAAAGGGGUGGAGGAUGUUAAAAUACCUUGUGAACACUUCUCCUAUAUGGCUUAUCUGAUAGACUUGAGAAUUUGUACAAUGCUUCAAUGCCAUUUGUAGAUGUACGUGUUGUAGGGACAGGAGGAUCCAAUUGUUAUCCUUAAAGUUAAGUGGAUCUGAGGGGUGUAGGGUAUAAAAUAGUUUGUGAACGCUUCUCCUCCUAUAUGGCUUAUCAGAGUUCAUGUCUAUCUUACUGCCCAUGCUUUCUCCUCCAUACUAUUCAAUACAUUAAGGGGAUGUUUCCUAUAUUUUAAGAAUUAAUUGGUUGAUUGACAACAAACUUGGUACACUGGUACAGCAUAUAUAAGGAGUAGAUGACCCCUAUUGAUUCUUAGGUCACAUGGUCAGUCCACUCUUGACAUAAGAAGAUAUUGUCUGCUCAAUAUUUUGAAUUGGUGAUACUACUGUGGUAGUAUCGGUCUAUAUUAUCUCCAUUUCAUUAUUUUCUACUUACUUGUCUACGUUAAUUCCUAACUUCGUAUUCGAGUUGUUUAUUUCAUGAAACAGGAAGAGAGUUAUCUUUUAUUUUCAAACGUAUUUUAUUACAAAACUUCUCAUUGGUUACUUCUAGAUUUAUUAUCAAAUCACAUUACAGGUAACUUUUACUUUCAUUCUUUUGUUAAGAAUAGUAUUUAAACCCGAGCACAACCGUACUCGGGGCUUCUUCUGAGCCAAACCUUGCAACAAGGUAAAUAUUAGGAGUUGCCGCACCCUGUAUUUUUUAUUAGUGUUUCUUUAUUUUUCCUCUUUAAUUAUAUUUUUUCAUUCCCCGGGAUUAUCAUUUUGGUAUUUAUCAUACAAUUGUUGAACUUCAUUAAAGGUUUAAAACUUUAUUUAUUUAUUAUUUUAUUACUAGCCUCAUUCUAGGCGGACUCAAACUUACCUGGAAAUAUCUAAAGGGUUGAAUACCUUAUAUAACACGUAUCAUCAUUAAAAAAAACACACACAACGCGAAGUAAAAAGAACCUAUCAAUAGUAGUGGCAAAAUGUCCAACUACUACACUACUAUCAAUUAAAUGAGGCACGGGUAUAACCCUUUCAAUAUUGCAACUUGGGGGGCAUAUGUGUUUUAGAAACAUCUCUUGUGUUGUAUUAUAUGAAUUACAGGUUUCAGUGUGCUCAGUUUAGAGAAUAGCAUAAAAGUAUUUGAUAAUUAAAUAUCUUGAAGAUUGACAGUUUACUCCAUGCACUGACAGGAAUGAUAAACUGUGAUAUUCAUAAAUGGUGAGCAUUUAUAAUUUUAGCUUACCUGAGCCAAAGGCUCAAGUGAGUUUUUCUGAUCAAAAUUUGCCCGUUGUCUGUCGUCGUUGGCGUCAUAAACUUUUUACAUUUUCGACUUCUUCUCAAGAACCGCCGGGCCAAUUUCAACCAAACUUCCCACAAAACAUCCUUGAGUGAAGGGCUUUCAAGUUUGUUCAAAAGAAGGGCCAUGUCCCUUUCAAAUGGGAGAUAAUCACAAAAAUGCAAAAAUAGGGUGGGGUCAUUUAAAAAUCUUCUAAUCAAGAGCCACUGGGCCAGAAAAGCUGAAAUUUACAUGACAGCUUUCUGACAUAGUACAAAUUCAAGUUUAUUAAAAUCAUGACCCCUGGGGGUUGGAUGGGGCCACAAUAGGGGAUCAAAGUUUUACAUACAAAUAUAUAAGGAAAAUGUUUAAAAAUCUUUUUCUCAAGAACCACUGAGCCAGAAAAGCUGAUAUUGACAUGAAAACUUCCUGACAUAUUUCAGAUUUCAGUUUGUGAAAAUUAUGGCUCCCAGGGGUAGGAUGGGGUCACAUGGGGGAUCAAAGUUUGCAUACAAAUAUAUAGGGAAAAUCUUUAAAUAUGAGCCAAAGUGACUCAGAUGAGCAAUGUGGCCCUUGGGCCUCUUGUUUAUAUGUGGCUGUGGUAGACAAUUUUCAGUUCAUCCUAGCUCCUAAUUAUUCAAAUCUAUUGGCCAGGGGUUGUGGGGAAACAUGAUUUACAUCUACAUCCUUACUUCUGAAAACAAUGUCCACUUCAAAACCAUGUAUUAACAAGACAACAGUAUUUUUUCCAGUGAGGAAGAAGACCAUGAAAGACACAACCAGUUUAUAAAACAAGAUGUGUUUGUGAAACACAAAUGCCCCCGAUAAUGGCCAAUUCCGAAGAUGGAACUGGAACACGUUCUAAAUAUACUCAGGGACAGCAAGGCUCGUCAUGGAUCAAUUAUUACCAAAUACAGAACACUGGAAGGCUUGCAAAAUGAAGACCUCAAAUGGCAGCUCACUACCUGUCCCUAGUUAUGUUGAAAGAGGCUGUUGUUCUCAUUUGUUCCAAAACAGGAAUGCCAUAUGAGGAGGCUAACAGAAGAUGCACCUCCACUGAGUGUGCACUCACAAAACGAAUAAAUUAUUAUUAUUUCU